AUAUGUGCUUUGAAGAGGGGGGGCAAGGGGGGUCCCAAUAACAGCAAAACAGCAAAUUGAUUUGGCUCAUAACAGAUAACAAGGAAUUAAAAUGGACAAAAACAGAUAACAGUAAAUGAAAUAUUAAAAUAAUUCGGUCUUUGACAAAUCAGUAUUUCUUAUUACGGAUCUAAUCCUUUGUAAUGCAUUCCAUUUUCUAUGACUUUUCUAGAAUGCGUUUAAAUUACUACUCUAUAUAUUAUAAUAUUUUUUAUACGCUCGUUUACGGAACGUAUUAUGGUAUACUGUUGUCCGUCUGUUGUCAACAUGUCGGACAUUAACUCAAAAACUCUUUGACCAAUUUGCAUUAAACUUUGGGAAAUUGUUUAUAUCUAUUGACGUGAGCUCCUUUUUUGGUUGUUUUUUUUUAUAAAUUUUAGAUUUUAAGUUUCUGGGUAAUGGGGUUUUUAUUCAAUAAAAUUUUAUUCCACUAGUUUCAAAGGCCUUAUUUGAACAAUUUUUUAUCAGCUGAGGUUUUUGAUUGUACCAAGUGUACUUGUAAAUAUUAAUAUUAAGUAGAAUAAUAGUUUAGUAGGGAAACAAUGGCUUGAAACGAAAUAAAUCUUUGUUUGUAAUGAGUUAUGUGCAGCUUCGGACCCAAGUACAUGGUUGGAACUUUCAUUGUACAAUGCAUUUGGUUCUGCUUUGAAAAGAAUCACAGAGCUAAGUCUAAGUACCAUGUUAUAUAAAAGGUUAAGUGGUAGUUAGGACCUAGUCCUUAAUUGAGAUCCUUGUCAGAUAUUCCUGGCCAUAUGUUUUCCUAUUUGUCAUAUUAAGAAUUGUUUUAAUUUCAUAUAUGUUCGUACGGGAAACAAGGAACAUUAGUCUCAUACAAAAAAUUAAGAUAAUUCUAAAUACACAUUCAUAAAAAAAAUGGAAUUUAUUACAAAGGAUAAUCAUAAGAUAUACUUGAAUUGUCCUGGACCUGACACUUCUGAGAUGGGUAUAUGGUAAUGGAAUCCUUCUCUGAAUACGGGACAAACAUAUUAGUAGUGGUAGACCCCAAUGUCCAAUGAUCUUCAAUUUAUACCGAAUAUUGACUGUAAAAAAAAAUGCUUACAUUCCAAUUUUCAAUAACAGUUAACAGCAAAUACAUUAUCACAAUAACAGAUAACAAAAAAACUAAAAGCCCAAUAACAGCUAACAAAGAAUAAGACAAUAACAGCUAACAGCAAAUAUAUUUUCAAAAUAACAGAUAACAAAGAAUUAAAUUGCCCCAUAACAGCAUAACAGUUAAACCCCUUGCCCCCCCUCUUUGAAUUUUAGC
rnacentral:lncRNA from 1 species